GAACUGUUUUCUAACCUGAGUUUGAACUUGCUAUAGACCAAUCAGUAAUAAUGAUAACAUAUGUAACCAAUCAACCGCUUGCUCUGCUUCUGAACUUAGUUCCUGUUAUGCCACUCGAGCAAGAAAAUCACCAAACACUGGGACAAAGACAAAAUUAAAACUGAAAGGAGUUUAUUCACGCGCGUGGACUCCACCCUCUAAGAGGAGUGAAGUCCCCAGGCAGGGAACAGCACAGCUAAAAAUUUUACAGGUAGUUCAAACAAAGAAGUUCAGGGAGAGGUCAACAUGUUUUUUAACCAGCUGCAAAAUAUUUUUCACAACCCGGCUAUUUUGUCAAGAUAGGACAUUCUGUGGUUACAGGGUUCGGUGGUUACAGGGAGGCACCAGGCACCAUCUGUUCCCAGGGAGCGAUAAAGCAUAUUUACAGAAGCAGGGCGAGCGGUUAUAAGGGCGGUUACAAAAAUACAUCUUUAGGAGAAUUCCAGCACUCUGCAAGGGGAGGGGUAUGAGGGGAGUUCACUCACAGGCCAAGAUGGCUUGCUUAGGUUCACUUUUGGUCUCACAGUUCCUACUUACAAAAACCCUAUAUAAACUGUAGAAGAACAAAAAGCAAGUUGCCUGGUUCUUUGAGGAACUACCCCGACCAGGCCCGUCCAUGUAAAUAAAGUUUGCUUUCAGCUUCCAAGUCCUAGGUGCCUUUUGGUGUUUCCCGUUUGCCGUUACAGCGGUGGUGGCGAGUUCUGGCCUUUGAAACUUGAGUUAAUUGCCGCAGGCGACUAGAAGCGAUCGUCUUUCGGUGCUCGGUGGGAUUUACCCAAACGCCUUGUUUGCCUUGUGCGACCUAGAGCCUGGACGAUCUCUCCCACUUUCCGUUAGAGGGUAAGCACCUGGAGAGGGACCCUUUCAUUGUUCUCGCAGGGUCACUCCCGCUGGCCUUUCAAUUUGGAAAAACGUCCGCUGUGUCUCCUGUGCGUCAGGCUUCACACAUGGCCGCGCCAAGGACGCG
rnacentral:lncRNA from 1 species